UACGUAGGGUGCGAGCGUUUGUCCGGAAUUACUGGGCGUAAAGAGCUCGUAGGUGGUUUUGUCGCGUUGUCCGUGAAAACUCACAACUCAAUUGUGGGCGUGCGGGCGAUACGGGCAGACUGGAGUACUGCAGGGGAGACUGGAAUUCCUGGUGUAGCGGUGGAAUGCGCAGAUAUCAGGAGGAACACCGGUGGCGAAGGCGGGUCUCUGGGCAGUAACUGACGCUGAGGAGCGAAAGCUAGGGGAGCGAACGGG
rnacentral:rRNA from 1 species